rnacentral:rRNA from 1 species
AUACGGAGGGUGCAAGCGUUACUCGGAAUCACUGGGCGUAAAGCGCGCGCAGGCGACUUGAUAAGUUGGAUGUGAAAGCCUACGGCUCAACCGUAGAACUGCAUCCAAAACUGUCAAGCUCGAGUCUGGGAGGGGAAGAUGGAAUUAGUUGUGUAGGGGUAAAAUCCGUAGAGAUAACUAGGAAUACCAAAAGCGAAGGCGAUCUUCUGGAACAGUACUGACGCUGAGGCGCGAAAGCGUGGGGAGCAAACAGGAUUAGAAACCCCGGUAGUCC